CGCUCGCGGGUACAGUAGGUGUGAGCUCGGGGGAAGACGGCCCUGGGACUGCCGGGAGGCUGAACCUGACUUCUCUGCAUGGGGAGCUCCUAUUGAUAGCAACGGGAAACAGCCAAGUUGUUUGCAUGAUGACACCGAGGGGAAGAAAGGCUUGACCACUUCCUCGGAGGAAGAAAAAGUCCUUUUUUGAGACACCACCUACAGCUAAAAUUUGCAGGUGAUGUUCAGUCCAAAUGAAACGAAAUGUUGGUCAUUGGCUCAUGGUGACCAGUCAUUGGAGGACAAAGCUAGUUAAGUGAACUGCAUAAAAAUCACAAAAUCAAAGGUGCGUUCUUCCCCUGAGCGGGCUCUGCUGUCCACGUCCGACUGUCCCUACAUGGAUACUCUCACCCUACUCAGGAUUGGCCUCUCCACGCUGGACUGGCCGUUGUGAGAUGCUGUCUUCACCUGGUAUCAGAUUAAAAUAGGAACAGCAAAACAAGAGUCUGGUGGGAUCACAUAAAGGAGUCUUGACCUGUAGGAAAUAAUUUCCCAUGAUUCU